rnacentral:rRNA from 1 species
UACGUAGGUGACCAGCGUUGUCCGGAUUUACUGGGCGUAAAGAGCGCGCAGGCGGUCGUUCAAGUCGAGUGUGAAAGCCCCCGGCUCAACUGGGGAGGGUCAUUCGAUACUGAUCGACUGGAAGGCAGGAGAGGGAAGCGGAAUUCCCGGUGUAGUGGUGAAAUGCGUAGAUAUCUGAAGGAACAUCAGUGGCGAAAGCGACUUCCUGGACCAAUACUGACGCUCAUGUGCGAAAGCGUGGGGAGCAAACAGG